GACGAACGCUGGCGGCGGGCUUAACACAUGCAAGUCGAACGGAAAGGCCCUGCUUUUGUGGGGUGCUCGAGUGGCGAACGGGUGAGUAACACGUGAGUAACCUGCCCUUUACUUUGGGAGAACUUCAGGAAACUGGGGCUUAUACCGGAUAGGAGCUCCUGCUGCGUGGUGGGGGUUGGAAAGUUUCGGCGGUUGGGGAUGGACUCGCGGCUUAUCAGCUUGUUGGUGGGGUAGUGGCUUACCAAGGCUUUGACGGGUAGCCGGCCUGAGAGGGUGACCGGCCACAUUGGGACUGAGAUACGGCCCAGACUCCUACGGGAGGCAGCAGUGGGGAAUAUUGCACAAUGGGCGGAAGCCUGAUGCAGCAACGCCGCGUGCGGGAUGACGGCCUUCGGGUUGUAAACCGCUUUCGCCUGUGACGAAGCGUGAGUGACGGUAAUGGGUAAAGAAGCACCGGCUAACUACGUG
rnacentral:rRNA from 1 species